rnacentral:lncRNA from 13 species
UUGCAUUUAAUUAUAAUGUCCACUUUUAUUUGGCAUUCCUUAUCAUUUGGAUCUGCAUGUUGAAUAAACACAAUAUCCCUAGACCUUUGAGGACUUUCUAAAUAAUCUGUUGUUGAUUCUCUCAGGUACUGACCAGAUUACCAUGAAUAUUCCUGACAGAAUACGCUGACAAGAAACAAAAACAAGACAAGCCUAAAAUAGAGGCUCUGGUAAACAUUCAGGGAAAAGUAUAUUACUGACAUGUGAGAGCUUGGUUUUCAAGGUUAAUAAAAUAAAGCUGACAGAAGUCCUGAGGCCUCACAUGACUCAGACCCAUUUCUCCUCUCCCUCCUAGCAAAUACUAGUGGGCAAUUUAAUGAACAAUCUUUGAAUCCUGAUUCCUGACUCAGAAGGAGAAACAAACCCCUAGAGCAGAAAACUCGUUGGCUGACAGGAAGUACUCCACGCAUGUUUCUGUAACACUGGAAUUCUUCUAAUCGCAUGAGGACAUGACAGCUGGCAUGCUGGGCGCUGCGGGAGAUGCCACCAGCCAAGCAGCCAGAUUCUGCACCUGGGGUACUAGUGUGGGGCAUAUAGCCAAGACUGGAUUUGAACACAUUCAAUGGACAGAGGAUUUUCUCCAGAAUUGGCUUAGGAUCUGAAAUUUCACCUUCCUGAUGUUCCCUACCUUGUGUGUACCCACAGCCACCUGUCACUUCACAGACGGGAAGAGGCUACAGAUUCAAAGGAGGUAAAGGUGAGAGUCUGUGAGUCCGGGAGGCAAGGUCAUGCUGUGGCUGGCCAGGUAUAAAACCACCUAGGCUGGGCUGCAUUGUUUCAACACUCCAUCGCCAGAAACUUUGAAGAGUGGAUCACUCAGUUUCCAAUGUGUUUUAAAUAGCUGAGCUCUUUUUCUCAGACAAGACUUCAUGAAGAAUCUUCAAACAGACAACAAAUGAAAGCUUGAAUUUAAGGAGGAUUUGGGAAUGUUAAAGCUCUAAUUCAUCCCACCCCUUCCCUUGAAGGUCAUGCAUAUGGAAUUUCAGAGUUCUGGAAUAGGAGAAGCACAAGCAGAAAUGGAUGGGAGAGACAGCAUUUUAGCCCCUUCCUGCUCCCACUCCAUGGCAGUCUGAACACGUCCUUUUCACAGUUCUGCCAGGAGUUCCCAGCGAU